GAUGAAGAACGCAGCGAAAUGCGAUACUUGGUGUGAAUUGCAGAAUCCCGUGAACCAUCGAGUCUUUGAACGCAAGUUGCGCCCGAAGCCAUUAGGCCGAGGGCACGCCUGCCUGGGCGUCACACGUCGUUGCCCCCCCAUCUACUCCUUCGGGAUUGCGGGGGGCGGAUGAUGGCCUCCCGUGCGCCUCGCCGCGCGGUUGGCAUAAAUGCCAAGUCCUCGGCGACGCACGCCACGACAAUCGGUGGUUGCGAAACCUCGGUUGCCCGUCGUGUGCGGUCGUCGCGCAUUGAGGGCUCGAAAAAAUUGCCGGGUUCCGGCUCGGCUUUCAACGCGACCCCAGGUCAGGCGGGGUUACCCGCUGAAUUUAAGCAUAUCAAUAAGCGGAGGA
rnacentral:misc_RNA from 1 species